rnacentral:rRNA from 1 species
GGGGAAUAUUGCACAAUGGGCGCAAGCCUGAUGCAGCAACGCCGCGUGAGGGACGACGGCCUUCGGGUUGUAAACCUCUUUUAGCAGGGAAGAAGCGAAAGUGACGGUACCUGCAGAAAAAGCACCGGCUAACUACGUGCCAGCAGCCGCGGUAAUACGUAGGGUGCAAGCGUUGUCCGGAAUUAUUGGGCGUAAAGAGCUCGUAGGCGGUUUGUCGCGUCUGCUGUGAAAUCCCGAGGCUCAACCUCGGGCCUGCAGUGGGUACGGGCAGACUAGAGUGCGGUAGGGGAGAUGGGAAUUCCUGGUGUAGCGGUGGAAUGCGCAGAUAUCAGGAGGAACACCAAUGGCGAAGGCACAUCUCUGGGCCGUAACUGACGCUGAGGAGCGAAAGCAUGGGGAGCGAAC